CCGAAAAUAGCUCAGCUGGUAGAGCGGGAGACUGUAGUUUGUAUAGUUAUCUCUAGGUCCCUGGUUCAAAUCCGGGUUUUCGGA
rnacentral:tRNA from 1 species